rnacentral:rRNA from 1 species
AGAACGAACGCUGGCGGCGUGCUUAACACAUGCAAGUCGAACGCGAAAGGGACUUCGGUCCUGAGUAAAGUGGCGCACGGGUGAGUAACGCGUAGAUAACCUGUCUUCAUGUCUGGAAUAAUACGCCGAAAGGGGUACUAAUACCGGAUAUUCUUGCUUUUCAUAAGUUAUGCAAGCAAAGGUGGCCUCUGCAUAUGCUACUGCAUGAAGAGGGGUCUGCGUACCAUUAGCUAGUAGGUGGGGUAAUGGCCUACCUAGGCGACGAUGGUUAGCGGGUCUGAGAGGAUGAUCCGCCACACUGGCACUGGAACACGGGCCAGACUCCUACGGGAGGCAGCAGUGAGGAAUAUUGCGCAAUGGGGGAAACCCUGACGCAGCGACGCCGCGUGAGUGAGGAAGGCCUUCGGGUCGUAAAGCUCUGUCAAGAGGAAAGAAGUGUACAAUGGCUAAUACCUGUUGUAUUUGACGGUACCUCUAAAGGAAGCACCGGCUAACUCCGUGCCAGCAGCUGC